rnacentral:rRNA from 1 species
UACGUAGGGGGCUAGCGUUGUCCGGAAUCAUUGGGCGUAAAGAGCGUGUAGGCGGCCCGGUAAGUCCGCUGUGAAAGUCAGGGGCUCAACCCUCGAAUGCCGGUGGAUACUGUCGGGCUAGAGUGCGGAAGAGGCGAGUGGAAUUCCUGGGUGUGAGCGGUGAAAUGCGCAGAUAUCAGGAGGAACACCGAUUGCGAAGGCAGCUCGCUGG